CGGACGGGUGAGUAAUGUCUGGGAAACUGCCUGAUGGAGGGGGAUAACUACUGGAAACGGUAGCUAAUACCGCAUAACGUCGCAAGACCAAAGAGGGGGACCUUCGGGCCUCUUGCCAUCGGAUGUGCCCAGAUGGGAUUAGCUAGUAGGUGGGGUAACGGCUCACCUAGGCGACGAUCCCUAGCUGGUCUGAGAGGAUGACCAGCCACACUGGAACUGAGACACGGCCCAGACUCCUACGGGAGGCAGCAUG
rnacentral:rRNA from 1 species